UACGAAGGGGGCUAGCGUUGCUCGGAAUUACUGGGCGUAAAGGGAGCGUAGGCGGACAUUUAAGUCAGGGGUGAAAUCCCAGAGCUCAACUCUGGAACUGCCUUUGAUACUGGAUGUCUUGAGUGUGAGAGAGGUAUGUGGAACUCCGAGUGUAGAGGUGAAAUUCGUAGAUAUUCGGAAGAACACCAGUGGCGAAGGCGACAUACUGGCUCAUUACUGACGCUGAGGCUCGAAAGCGUGGGGAGCAAACAGGAUUAGAAACCCCAGUAGUCC
rnacentral:rRNA from 1 species